GGAAUUUUGCGCAAUGGGCGAAAGCCUGACGCAGCAACGCCGCGUGAGGGAUGAAGGCCUUCGGGUUGUAAACCUCUUUUCUCAGGGAAGAUAAUGACGGUACCUGAGGAAUAAGCCACAGCUAACUACGUGCCAGCAGCCGCGGUAAUACGUAGGUGGCAAGCGUUGUCCGGAUUUACUGGGCGUAAAGAGCGCGCAGGCGGUUGGGCAAGUCGCGUGUGAAAGCCCCCGGCUCAACUGGGGAGGGUCACGCGAUACUGCUCGGCUCGAAGGCAGGAGAGGGAAGUGGAAUUCCCGGUGUAGUGGUGAAAUGCGUAGAUAUCGGGAGGAACACCAGUGGCGAAGGCGACUUCCUGGCCUGUUCUUGACGCUGAGGCGCGAAAGCUAGGGGAGUAAAC
rnacentral:rRNA from 1 species